ACCUGUGCUGGUGGUUCUGUAGAAACACACUGUUUGAAAUCCGAAGAGCAGUGUAAAAGGAUGGUGAUUGAUGGUGCUCGCUAUUCUUUUAUACAUAUGCAAAUCAUAUUUAUUCUGAGACUGCACUCUAUUAUGUAGACUUUGGGUAGAGAAGAAUGACUGAGAAAAGCCAACCUCGUGAGGAUUUUCCCAGGGCAGAGGUGGGUGAUUGAGGACCAAGAGCUUCAAAAUCAUGGAACCUCAAGAUGGACUACUUAAAUGAAAAUCAAAUUCUAAGUUUAACCGCCUUCCUCAAUGCUGGGAGUGAAUAGAAAAAGGGGAGUCAUUGGUGAAGAUAUGAUAUGGUCAAGAAGGAGAAAAAACUCUCCAGUAAAACAAAAUGUUCUCAGAUAACCACUACCCCAAAUUGAUUACAUCUCCUAUUUCUAUAGGCAGAGGUAGAAAAAGAGAGAAAACCUAAAGAUCCUACUAGGCCAUGAAAACAAGAAUAUUUUCAACAAAUUAAAUCUGUGAACUCUGUGUUCACUGAGUGAUGUGAAUUUCAGAUCACAAUGUGGAACAUUUUGUCAUCAGCUCCAUAUCUAACUGUGAAAAGUGAUCUUACGCUUGGAUAGGAAAGUUUGCUGUGACAACCGAGGCGGAUUAAUAAAAUCAGCUGUACUUACUGAGGAGCGAGCUGGAAACAACCUUUUUUUCCUCACCACAGCUCUAUAAACCUGCUUCUGAGGCUCCACUUUUCUGUGUUUGCCCAAUAAAUUGGACAGAGGCCACAACCUUCCAGUGCCUUUUGGA